CUUUAAUGCUACUGUCAUUUCUAACAGUAAUUGGGUUAGCAGUAAGCGGACAGACUAUUGAAGAUAUAUCGGAAGAACUUACAGACGCGUUGGUUAAAGUCGAAUGGUACCACUGGAACGAAAUUAACAAAAUGAAAUAUUUGAUUUUUUUGACGAAUGCGUCCAAAGUAUUAGCCAUGAAGUUCUCUGAAAACAUUUCGCUUAAUCUUCGGUUAGGAUUACAGAUUGCCAGAGCUUUCUUCACUGCUGUGUCUAUUAUGUAUCGACUCAGGUUGAGUCGUGAUGUUUAACAGCUUCAAAUUAUUGACUAUAAUCGUAUACAUCACUUUCUGUAGAACUGAACACACUAGGUGGGUGUUGCAUAAUUUGUUUAAAAAAUGUUGAUCAGGACGCUGGAAAUGUUUAGAUGGAUUCAAUGGUUUUUGCGUGGGCUAACAUUGAUUGAUCAACUUACUU